GAUGAACGCUAGCUACAGGCUUAACACAUGCAAGUCGAGGGGUAGCAGGGUAGCAAUACCGCUGACGACCGGCGCACGGGUGAGUAACACGUAUCCAACCUUCCCAUAACUCGGGGAUAGCCUUUCGAAAGAAAGAUUAAUACCCGAUAGUACUUAAGAAAGGCAUCUUUUUUAAGUUAAAGAUUUAUUGGUUAUGGAUGGGGAUGCGUUCCAUUAGAUAGUUGGUGAGGUAACGGCUCACCAAGUCUUCGAUGGAUAGGGGUUCUGAGAGGAAGGUCCCCCACAUUGGUACUGAGACACGGACCAAACUCCUACGGGAGGCAGCAGUGAGGAAUAUUGGUCAAUGGGCGAGAGCCUGAACCAGCCAAGUAGCGUGAAGGAUGAAGGUCCUAUGGAUCGUAAACUUCUUUUAUAGUAGAAUAAAGUGACCCACGUGUGGAUUUUUGUAUGUAUACUAUGAAUAAGGAUCGGCUAACUCCGUGCCAGCAGCCGCAGUAA
rnacentral:rRNA from 1 species